rnacentral:rRNA from 1 species
GACUGGCCGCCACGCCCGUGUGAAGUUCCUUCGACGAGUCGAGUUGUUUGGGAAUGCAGCUCAAAAUGGGUGGUAAAUUUCAUUUAAAGCUAAAUAUUGGCCAGAGACCGAUAGCGCACAAGUAGAGUGAUGGAAAGAUGAAAAGCACUUUGGAAAGAGAGUCAACCAGUACGUGAAAUUGUUGAAAGGGAAGCGCUUGCACCCAGACUUGCCCGCGGGUGUUCAGCCGGUAUUCUUACCGGUGCAUUCCCCUGCGGUCAGGCCAGCAUCGGUUUGGGCGGCUGGAUAAAUUCCACUGGAAGGUAGUUCUUUUCGGGGAGUGUUAUAGCCAGAGGUGCCAUGCAGCCCGCCCGGACCGAGGACCGCGUUUCGGUUAGGAUGCGGGCGUAAUGGUUGUAAGCGACCCUUCUUGAAACACGGACCAAGGAGUUUACCAUUUAUGGGAGUGUUUGGGUGUCAAACCCAUGCGCGUAAUGAAAGGGAACGGAGGGGGGAACCCUUAAGGGUGCACCAUCGACCGAUCCUGAUGUCUUCGGAUGGAUUUGAGUAAGAGCAUAGCUGUUGGGACCCGAAAGAUGGUGAACUAUGCCUGAAUAGGGUGAAGCCAGAGGAAACUCUGGUGGAGGCUCGCAGCGGUUCUGACGUGCAAAUCGAUCGUCAAAUUUGGGUAUA